rnacentral:lncRNA from 14 species
AAACUCUUUUUGAAGCACCUUAAUGUGGCCAUCCAUUUGACGAGUGGGUGCCACUUUUUUCUUUGAGCACCUUAUUGACGUAUUUUGCUAUCUGCUGUCUUCUGUUACCGUUAGCUGAAUAGCUAGCUGUUAACACACACAUGUGCACAGACCAGACACCUGAGCACGUGUGUUCUCAAUGACGUUUACUGUGGUGACUGCUGGAAGGUGAACUCAUUUUCUGAUUUUCCCACCACAGUGUUGUGAUAAGACUCGAAGAAACCCUGCCCUGCACGGAAAAAUGUUCCUUAUCACGUUGUAUAUUAGGGUGGGAAGGAAUAUGGUCCCCUUUUUGCAAUUGCUACUGUGUAUACACACACGUGCACACACACACACUGUAUAUUCAGACCUAAUGUACACACACAACCAUAACUCAUUUGUCCAAGUGAUAUUUCAGAUGUCUCUGUGGGUGUCACACACCAAAUGCAGUUUUCCACUUCCCAGAGAAUUUUGAAUGGAGGGCAACUUUUCAGACUGAUGAACUAGGCACCGGGAAGAAGAGUUUGAAGUGAGAGGCAAGGAAAGAGAGAGCAUUAGGUCAAAAGAAGAAUUUCCCAGGAGGAACGGGAUGAAUGGCUGUCUUUGCAGGUGGGUGUGGAACACUGCUGUCUCAGUCUGCACUGUAGAAACCCAUGCACACAUCAACACACACACACACACACACACACACACACACACACACACACACACAUCCUCCCACAGGGGCGUGGUCUGGGAUGAGCAGGUCAAUAGUUUUGAGAGGGAGUUUGUUCCUUUUUUUUCUCUCAUUAUACUCUUGUUGUCAGUUAUUAAACAAACAAACAGAAAAAUUGUUUUGAAAAACCUUGCGUACGCCUUUUCUAUCAAGUGCUUUAAAAUAUAGACUAAAUACACACAUCCUGCCAGUUUUUCUUACAGUGACCGUACCCUUACCUGCCAUUUAAUAUUAGCCUCGUAUUUUUCUCACGUAUAUUUACCUGUGACUUGUAUUUGUUAUUUAAACAGGAAAAAAAUUUCAAAAAAAGAAAACUUAACUGUAGCGCUUCAUUAUACUAUUAUAUUAUUAUUGUGACAUUUUGGAAUACUGUGAAGUUUUAUCUCUUGCAUAUACUUUAUACAGAAGUAUUACGCCUUAAAAAUACGAAAAUAAAUUUUACAAGGUUUCUGUUUUGUGUGGAAGAGUAAUUGAUGUUGCUAAGAAUGAUGUUUGUUUUUUGGGGUUUUUGUUGUUUUUUUUUUAAAUGUUACCAGCACUUUUUUUGUAAGUUUCACUUUCUGAGGUAUUGUACAAGUUCACACUGUUUGUGAAGUUUGAAUAUGAAGGAAUAAUUAAAAAAAAACAAAAAAACAA